GAUGAAGAACGUAGCGAAAUGCGAUAAGUAAUGUGAAUUGCAGAAUUCAGUGAAUCAUCGAAUAUUUGAACGCACAUUGCGCCCCUUGGUAUUCCGAGGGGCAUGCCUGUUCGAGCGUCAUUAUAACCCCUCAAGCUCGGCUUGGUGUUGGGGCCUGCCGCACGGGCAGCCCUUAAAAUCAGUGGCGGUGCCAUCUGGCUCUAAGCGUAGUAAUUCUUCUCGCUAUAGAGUCCCGGUGGAUGCUUGCCAUUAACCCCCAAUUUCAAUGGUUGACCUCGGAUCAGGUAGGGAUACCCGCUGAACUUAAGCAUAUCAAUAAGCGGAGGA
rnacentral:misc_RNA from 1 species